rnacentral:rRNA from 1 species
GAUGAACGCUAGCUACAGGCUUAACACAUGCAAGUCGAACGGGAGAUCAUUUUAAUGAGGCUUCGGCGGAUUUGAUCUGAUCUUAGUGGCGGACGGGUGAGUAACGCGUGGGUAACCUGCCUUAUACAGGGGGAUAACAGCCGGAAACGGCCUGCUAAUACCGCAUAAGCGCACAGGAAGGCGCAUGCUUCAGUGUGAAAACUCCGGUGGUAUAAGAUGGACCCGCGUUGGAUUAGCUAGUUGGCAGGGCAGGCGGCCUACCAAGGCCGACGAUCCAUAG